rnacentral:rRNA from 1 species
CCUACGGGAGGCAGCAGUGAGGAAUAUUGGUCAAUGGUCGGAAGACUGAACCAGCCAUGCCGCGUGCAGGAAGAAUGCCUUAUGGGUUGUAAACUGCUUUUAUAUGGGAAGAAUAAGGUGUACGUGUACAUUGAUGACGGUACCAUAUGAAUAAGCAUCGGCUAACUCCGUGCCAGCAGCCGCGGUAAUACGGAGGAUGCGAGCGUUAUUCGGAAUCAUUGGGUUUAAAGGGUCUGUAGGCGGGCUAUUAAGUCAGAGGUGAAAGGUUUCAGCUUAACUGAGAAAUUGCCUUUGAUACUGGUAGUCUUGAAUAUCUGUGAAGUUCUUGGAAUGUGUAGUGUAGCGGUGAAAUGCUUAGAUAUUACACAGAACACCGAUUGCGAAGGCAGGGGACUAACAGACAAUUGACGCUGAGAGACGAAAGCGUGGGGAGCGAACAGGAUUAGAUACCCUAGUAGUC